ACGGGGUGCAGCAGGCGCGAAACCUCCACAAUGUACGAAAGUGCGAUGGGGGAAUCCCAAGUGUUAUUCUUAACAGAAUAGCUUUUCAUUAGUGUAAAAAGCUUUUAGAAUAAGAGCUGGGCAAGACAGGUGCCAGCCGCCGCGGUAACACCGGCAGCUCGAGUGGUAGCUGUUUUUAUUGGGCCUAAAGCGUCCGUAGCCGGUUUGAUUAGUCUUUGGUGAAAGCUUGUAGCUUAACUAUAAGAAUUGCUGGAGAUACUAUCAGACUUGAAGUCGGGAGAGGUUAGAGGUACUACCGGGGUAGGGGUGAAAUCCUAUAAUCCUGGGAGGACCACCUGUGGCGAAAGCGUCUAACUAGAACGAUCUUGACGGUGAGUAACGAAAGCCAGGGGCGCGAACCGGAUUAGAUACCCGGGUAGUCCUAGCUGUAAACGAUGCGGACUUGGUGUUGGGGUGGCUUUGAGCUGUCCCAGUGCCGAAGGGAAGCUGUUAAGUCCGCCGCCUGGGGAGU
rnacentral:rRNA from 1 species